AAUUGUAAGGCGGCCGCGAGCUUGGGUCACGACUGACCGGCGUGUAAUUCACAGGAAAAUUGACCGAAGAAAAUGCCAAUUACGGUGGUCCCAGUGGUCAUCAUUAUAAUAAUAUCGCAUUAUAUUUUGAUUGCACCAGUAAUACCAUGACUGUCGGUCUUAUACAUGUUUUUUUAGUAAUUGCAUAACUGCAUCGCGACUUCUUCGUUCUGAAGUGCUCGUAGCAUAUCCAGAACACCCCUCCUCUUUACAAGUCAUCCGAUCUACCAGUUUUAGACCGCAGUACAACAACAAGCUGAUCUGGUCGGAUUCCCCCUAUAUUAUCAUUUUCUCUCUCUCCUUUCUUUCACUUACUCUUUCCCGUUGAAAAUUGGUUCUCCGGGCGUCCAAUCGUCCAUGUUAUAAUACAACUCUCUUUUCCACGCGUUUAUCCGUCUUUCUCCUUGAGCAUAACACUUUGUUGUUUUUUUCAGUUCACAACGUUUGCGUAAAUUGUUGUUUUUGAAUUGCGAACAGUGUUGCAAUUUCACCGUGGGAGCUACGACCGUUAUCCACAUACAUGUUGCCGAACACCGAUACAGUUUAGAGUUUCCUGUACUUGAAAACGUUCAUGUAGUGGAUUGAGUUCAUCGUGGAAAGACAAUAUUUUCGCUCCAGCAAAACGAACAAUCUAUUAUUAUGGCGGAGAAUAUUUUGUCAUAAAGUUCCUAAAUUAUAGUCUCUGAGAAAUGAAAUUACAUGAUAUUUCUUGUAGCGUACAUUCAAAUGCGUUCCGUAUAAAAAUAUACGUUUAGGUAUACUACCCAGGCGUGUAAUUCAAAUGUAUACAUUUAAAACGAUGUAUAAUGCUGGGAAAUCUGUUUUCUUGGUUAUUAUUUUUUUAUUAAGCGACACAUCAUCAAAUUCUAUUUUGAUAAAUUGUUGAGAAAAAAAAACGAAACUACUCAUCAAUCUUCGAAUGAAAAACAACAUACAUAAGUAUACAAGUUCAGAACAACAAACAACAUCUUAAAUUGGUAUUGAAAUGGCACUUAGUAUCUAUAUGAAUAACAAGAAAAACAUUGGUAUUAUUAGAAACUUGUACACAAGAGAAUUAUGUGUCGCCAAAAUGUACAUAUUAUUUCAUAGAAAUCCAUGACUCACAAAUGUCAAUUUAAAAAAAACAUAUUAUUAGAAAAGUAACUUGUAUGAUUUUAUUAUGUUAAUAUAAGAAAAAUGUCUGUUUGUCAAAAAACAAAUGGUGACUUGCACUCACAAUGAAAUAUAUUUGUAAAUUGUAUCUAUUGCUAAUAAUUUUUAUGCGAAUAUAUUAUUUGGACAUUAAGUCCACAAAUGAACAUUUUCAACUAAAAUUUACUUUUUAAUACUUUUUGUAAAACAGUAUAUUAUUAUAGUUCUACGGAACAAUUUUAUGAUCGCAUUGAUACUUAAAAAUCGUUGAAAAUUUAC